rnacentral:tRNA from 1 species
AGGCGCUUGGUGGAAUUGGUAGACACAACCGCUAAAAAGCGGUGAUAGUGACUGACGCGUGGCGUGACUAUCGUGCAAGUUCGAAUCUUGCAGCGCCUACCA